AAGAGGGAAAGGCUUAACCCAUUCAUAAACAUAGCAGUUUCUCUGAAACUGCUAUGUUUAUGAAAAAAUGGGUUAACCCUAGCUGGACCAGGCACCCAGACCACUUCAUUAAGCUGAAGUGGUCUGGGUGCCUAGAGUGGUCCUUUAAAGCAGAUUUGCCGCCACUUAGGUUCGAAGAUGACUAGUUUACAAAGCUGUCACCGACGGUGAAAGGGUUCCUCCUUUUCUCCACCUACGACUUGCCCAUAAGAUAAAGUAAUCUUUUUCUUAUGAUGUCUUUUGAAAUGAGCAUCUAAAUGAGUAAAUCAUUUAUCUUUAUUAAAUGCUCAAGAAGUGACAGAGCUGCUUUAAGAGCUACAAAUAUAGUUUAAAAAUAAAACAUUUCUUUUCACAAAUUCGCCUUUUUACAUCAUAUACAUAUCAAUUCCUAUAUUAUUUUAAUGUCUAGUUGAAUUGAAAACGUUGGCAAAAAAAUUGCAUUUGGACUCGUAGAUAUUGUUUUUAAGACUCCACUUCUCUCACUGACUAAUGGACAGGAAGGCGAUGUAACUGCACUGCCAUAGAAAAGCUGUAAGGAUACGUCACAUGGGCAAAUGUUUAAGUUGCAUGCGUAUGUAACCCAAAUGUGGAGAUCCUCAGCAUGUAAUGUUAUUUCAUGCCUGUUAUGCCCACUUGUAAAGGGCUGGAAAAAAAGACCACAUCCUAUUUAAUAAUACAAUAAAACUAUUCUUGCCACUUUCUUCGUGUCGUGCGUAAUCCUUUUUGAUGGCUCUCUGCUCUAAUCUGCUUUCAUUUAUAG